GUAGAGCUGUGAAGCCGAACAAAUGGAGCCUUAAGGGAGCAGCUAAAAGAACAGAAAGAAGAAGGGGAGGCUGGAGGUUCUCCAUCAACAUUUGGAACAGAGAAAUGAAGCCUCUACCAGUCCAGUCUCCUGCUCACAGGAUGGAGAUCGAUGAAUGCCAGCACUUAGAGCGAAGACACACAGUGUAUUGUGAAGGAACUGUCAAGCCACUGACAACAAAACCAGGGGAUUGAAAAUCCAGUCCUGGAAGGCCGGCGUCCUGCAACUCAUAAAUGUGUCCCUGGUCCAACACACCUGAAUGACUGAAUCGCCUCCUCAGCAUGUAAUCCUGUUCUACAGAGUUCUAUUAAAGACCUCAUUAGCAGGUAGACAUCUACUGCAGAAAAACGCCCAGAUAAGAAGGUUUCUGAUGGAGGGACUGGACCUAAUUGGUGGGAAGCUGCCCAGAAGCUCCUGACCUGAAGCUGUAUCAAGGCUGAACGAGUGUUGGUGUUCACAGAGAAUCAGAGGAGAAAGCAGUAUCCUGGCAGGACGCUGGGGACUCAGUUCCCAGCAGCCUUUGCAACUCUCCUGCUCAGUUUCUCCCUGAUGGGUCAAUGUUGCUGUCCUCUGGGGAAUUUCCACUUUUUCUCAUGGCUAUGCCCAGCUAGCUUUGACCCUCCCCCUGCCAAAUGACCCAGAGUUCGGCUACUUGCUUGCCUUAUCUGUCCUUUCCCAGGGCUGUGGUACUCUCUAUGUCACCCGUCUCUGUCUGUCACCAUCUCUGUAGUUGAUAUAUAGUAUAUUAAUCACAUCAUCUAAAGAGCAGACUUUAGGGGAAAUACAUAAUGCUAUAUGUGGAACAGCAUUGAAGUCAGACCUCCAAAUAUGAAAAUACAUGUAUUCAGACUUAAUAGUAAGAACAUGUAAAUCUGAGGUUAAUAUAGGUAUUUUGUUCAGAAUGAAGACGAGAACCAAGUUUAAACCAUGAAUAGCCUUCUCCUGUACUGAUUAAAGACAGGCAAGGCAAAUGUGUGGUUGGCAAUGUUUUAACAUGUAAUGUGUGACAUGUUAACAUGUGUUAGCAACAUGUUUGCAGUUUCAAGCUUACUAAACGUCAUCAGGAGUAUCAAUGUCAUGGAAAAUGAUGGCUUUUCUGAUCCACUACAAUUUUAGCCGAAAAUGUUGACAACAUAAAAAAUCUAUUUAAAUAUAAGAACCUGUAGACUCCACGAUCAGCAUUUUAAACAAUGAUAGGUUAAGGUUCAAGGCCUGGAUGAAGAAACUGUCACCCUUAAAUGACAGGAAACUGGUUGUGUUGCUCAGAAUCGACCCAGGAGUAACCACAGCUCAAGCCUGCAAGAAACAGGAAACUGCUGAAACACCAUCGUCCACAGUGGA